rnacentral:rRNA from 1 species
GAUGAACGCUGGCGGCGUGCUUAACACAUGCAAGUCGAACGGAAAGGCUCCUGCUUGCAGGGGUACUCGAGUGGCGAACGGGUGAGUAACACGUGGGUGAUCUGCCCUGCACUUCGGGAUAAGCCUGGGAAACUGGGUCUAAUACCGGAUAGGACGAUGGUUUGGAUGCCAUUGUGGAAAGUUUUUUCGGUGUGGGAUGAGCUCGCGGCCUAUCAGCUUGUUGGUGGGGUAAUGGCCUACCAAGGCGUCGACGGGUAGCCGGCCUGAGAGGGUGUACGGCCACAUUGGGACUGAGAUACGGCCCAGACUCCUACGGGAGGCAGCAGUGGGGAAUAUUGCACAAUGGGCGCAAGCCUGAUGCAGCGACGCCGCGUGGGGGACGACGGCCUUCGGGUUGUAAACUCCUUUCGCUAGGGACGAAGCGCAAGUGACGGUACCUGGAGAAGAAGCACCGGCUAACUACGUG